GGCAUUAAGUUUCGAAAUGAAGAAACCGAACUCAAGGAGUCAGACAGCGCAGAACAAAAGAUGCUGCUUACAGAACACGGCAGAUCUUCACCCUCGUCGAUUUUAUUACAAGAUUCCGGUCAAAAGUUGAAUCUUGGUUCGGCAUUUGUUCAACGAACUCGAUAUUUGAGUCGUAGUCCGAGAUAUGGACCAAGCGCUUUUAUGAUUGAUGUCGUACCAGAUUCCAAGACACUGUUUUACACAAGGAAGAAACUGAAGGCAA